rnacentral:lncRNA from 1 species
CCAUUAUUUAGAAAAAUUAAAGUCAAAUUUGCAGCUUGGAAAGAUAAAUUAUUAUCCUUGGGAGGAUGGUUAACUUUUAUCAAAGAGGCUUUAACUACCUUACCUUCAUACUCAAUGUCAAUUCUACAUACUAACUUGGGUGGCUAAGAGAAUUGAUAGAUUGAGGACUUUAUCAUUGGCAUGAUGUAAUAUGUUCGCUCGAGGUUAUUGUGGUGGUGGUAUCCAUGUUAGAGCAA